CUCCCAUUCCAUUUUCCUUGUGUGUUGUGUGUUUUUUAGAUUACAAGAUGUGACUGUCCUAGAACUUAUGUUUGUAAGCCGCUGUCAGAGAGCCUUUUGACUAAAGGGCAGGGUAUUAUUUUAUUUUCCAAAAAUGAACUCAACUCAUAUCUCCUCCUCUCAGACUGAAAACAGAAAAGAAUAAGAGCAACAAGGAAAAGGAAAUACGGAGAAAAGGUACAAGAAAGAAAUCAGCUUGUCAACGCAAGGAAGAAGUGACUUCCUCUUCGUCUAUGAAGUAGCUGUUUGCACAAAUGUAGGGGAAAUGGAGGGAGCGUGAGGGAAGGGCAGGGAGAAACAGAGAAAGCAUAAGAGAGAGCGGGAGAGGCCAUACGUGUGAGGAGGACAACAAUGCAGAGGAGAGAUGGAAGAAGCGAUUAUGUGACAGGAUUUUACACAGAGGACUCUGAGGGCGCUGUGUUGUGAGGCGAGGAACAGACCCAUGGCUGACCCUGACACCAGAAUGAGCGGAUUCAGGAAAACGACGGCAUGAAGGCAAAGUGUUCAAGCUGCUUCUCCAACUGACCAGUACAAUGAAGCAAGACACAUUUCCUCUGGAUCCAAGAAAGAGUUUUGCAGAUCAGAGAAGAAUAUGCAAACAUUUAUUUUUUUGUCCAGAGCCCAAAGUGUUACUGAAGCAGUUACUGAAGCAAUUAAUUUUUUCUCCCCUGGUAGUCCCCACCCAUUAGUAGUCUCAGUACAGAAUAAAUCUUUCCCUUUUGUAAUCUUUCCCAGAUGUUUGCUAUUCACUUCUUUCUAUUGAAGCUUCUGCUUCCAGAGGGCCUCCGUUAAAACGCAUUUAGUCAGCAGGUACAACAUCUGCCACAUUCUUCUUCACCUGUGCCUCCAAGGUAAAGCCCCUUGCUUUCAGGCUUUGAAAUAAGCAUCUAUUUCCCCCCUUUAUGGGCUAAAGUAAUAUACCUGUACACAAUGACUUGCAAUUAAUUUCAAAACCAGACUUUUCAGACAGGCCAACAGAUUGCUCAGUUAGGGCUGGGCUCGGUUCAGCUGCUGAUAUACAGCAAAGGUGAAGGGAGACCAAUCCUCACAGUGACUUCUGCACCACCAGGCCAAAGGGCAUUGGGCUCUUCAGCACAGCACAAUUGGGCCUCUCUACAUUAUCCUCACAAGAAGUCUGUGAGGAGGUUAGGCUUGGAGGCAGUGCCUGGCCCAGGGUCCCCCAGUGUAUUUCAUGGCAGAACAGGGAUUUGAACCCAGGUCCUAGUCCAACAUUCUAAACACUAUGCCACACUGGCUCUGUCACACCACAAUACUCAUUCUCUCAUCUCUAUAGCAUGGAAGUAUUAGGUUAUAUACAGCUAGGAAUCCCCCCCUUCAUUUCCUGUUUUAUUGUCAGUAGUUUGGUGGUCCUGUGAGAGA